rnacentral:rRNA from 1 species
GACGAACGCUGGCGGCGUGCUUAACACAUGCAAGUCGAACGGAAAGGCCCUGCUUUUGUGGGGUGCUCGAGUGGCGAACGGGUGAGUAACACGUGAGUAACCUGCCCUUGACUUUGGGAUAACUUCAGGAAACUGGGGCUAAUACCGGAUAGGAGCUCCUGCUGCAUGGUGGGGGUUGGAAAGUUUCGGCGGUUGGGGAUGGACUCGCGGCUUAUCAGCUUGUUGGUGGGGUAGUGGCUUACCAAGGCUUUGACGGGUAGCCGGCCUGAGAGGGUGACCGGCCACAUUGGGCCUGAGAUACGGCCCAGACUCCUACGGGAGGCAGCAGUGGGGAAUAUUGCACAAUGGGCGGAAGCCUGAUGCAGCAACGCCGCGUGCGGGAUGACGGCCUUCGGGUGGUAAACCGCUUUCGCCUGUGACGAAGCGUGAGUGACGGUAAUGGGUAAAGAAGCACCGGCUAACUACGUG